rnacentral:rRNA from 1 species
CAAUAGCGUAUAUUUAAGUUGUUGCAGUUAAAAAGCUCGUAGUUGGAUUUCGGUUGAGAGCGGCCGGUCCGCCGUUUGGUGUGCACUGGCUGGUUUCAACUUCCUGUAGAGGACGCGCUCUGGCUUCACGGCUGGACGCGGAGUCUACGUGGUUACUUUGAAAAAAUUAGAGUGUUCAAAGCGGGCUUACGCUUGAAUAUUUCAGCAUGGAAUAACACUAUAGGACUCCUGUCCUAUUUCGUUGGUCUCGGGACGGGAGUAAUGAUUAAGAGGAACAGUUGGGGGCAUUCGUAUUUCAUUGUCAGAGGUGAAAUUCUUGGAUUUAUGAAAGACGAACUUCUGCGAAAGCAUUUGCCAAGGAUGUUUUCAUUAA